AUUGAACGCUGGCGGCAGGCCUAACACAUGCAAGUCGAGCGAGCGGCGGACGGGUGAGUAGUGUCUGGGAAACUGCCUGAUGGGGGGGGAUAACUACUGGAAACGGUAGCUAAUACCGCAUACCAUGAGAUGUGCCCAGAUGGGAUUAGCUAGUAGGUGGGGUAACGGCUCACCUAGGCGACGAUCCCUAGCUGGUCUGAGAGGAUGACCAGCCACACUGGAACUGAGACACGGCCCAGACUCCUACGGGAGGCAGCAGUGGGGAAUAUUGCACAAUGGGCGCAAGCCUGAUGCAGCCAUGCCGCGUGUAUGAAGAAGGCCUUCGGGUUGUAAAGUACUUUCAGCCGGGAGGCGUUACCCGCAGAAGAAGCACCGGCUAACUCCGUGCCAGCAGCCGCGGUAAUUC
rnacentral:rRNA from 1 species